rnacentral:lncRNA from 1 species
CAGGUACAUAGAGGACGGGACAGGUCUACACAAGGAGAGAGGGAGGAGAAAACACAAAAGACCGACAGCGGGGAAAGAGAGAGAGAGAGAGAGAGAGAGAGAGAGCAGAGGGAGAGGUUGAAAAGAAAAACUCUUCAAACGUGAUCUCACAUUCCUGACUAGGAGAGGAGAGAGAGAGAGAGGAGAGGUGGAGGAGAGAGAGGGAGAGAGAGAGAGGAGGGAGAGAGAGAGAGGAGGGUAACAGGCGGUUGGAGAGAAAGUUUUAGGUGGCACCAGAUGGCAUUUGAAUACUCAACAGCCGACCACACACACACACACACACACACACACACACACACACACACACACAGAAAGUAACAACGAGGUGCAAAUGGCACAGUAGUCUUUUUGUGACUUCCCAUCCUCUAGAAUUAGAUAUCUGUCCUCUCCCUCUCCCAAGCAGAGACAGAUUCCCAGAUAAAAAUAGGCUGAAGUAUUCCAGUCCUCCUCCCAUUCUACAGCCAGGCUUUGAGAUAGAGGGUGAGUGUCAUAUUAUGGGUUAGCAGCCCAGUGUAAGCCUGGUGAGGAGGAGGACAUCCUAACACGGCACCUCACUUUCCACAGUUCAUUUCUGUACACCGCUAAAUUAUCAAAGUCACACACCUCAUUCUCCACACUCCUGUACACCAAAAUCAGGCUAGGUCAUAAUGUCUGCACAACAGCUAAAUGGGAUCUUCGGGAUUGCAUAAUUCAAUGCAAAAAUAAACCAAUCAGCGCAUAUUAUGCGAGAGCUCGCAAUUUUGACCAAUUCCCGCACUUUUAGCGCAUAAAAGGGUCCAAUCAAAAGCGUGUUCGUAAUUUUGGAUUGGGCCGUUUGGAAAAUGGUUUUCCUCCUGGCCUGUCAGCGUAUUCACGUGUGAAGAUGAUGGGUGAUUGUUGAUGGCUGACAGGCAAUACAACGAACAGAAAUCAAUCUCAUUUGCCAACAAAAAUAAUAGCUAACGACAGUGCGAAACAAUUUCUAAAUGUUUCUGAAAACUAGAGAAAGUCGACAAUCAACAGUCACUUCGAAUCAGCAAAGAAUAUGAGAAUGUCAGAACAGUUCCCACAGUAGUGGCAGAUCACCAUGACUACAGUGGUAGCAGGGAAGACUGUGGCAAACGCUGAAAGAAUCACGAGAGAGAGGGAGAGAGUGAGUAGGAAUGGGAGGUGCAUCUCGUGUUGACAACAAGCCCCAAGCCUGAUGGAGAGGAGAGGUGUGUGAGUGAAUGUGUGAGUGGAUUAUGACAGAGCUGUUGGUUCAGGAAAAUAAACAGAAGUGAGCACUUUAGAUGUUUGUAAUAGUUUGUGUAUUAUGUAUUCUGCUUAAAAUCAUCCUAAAACUGAGCACAUAUGACUUAUUGCUUUAUAUGAAAUUAACGUGUGAAAAAAAAACAUCACAAAAUGUAUAGCAGAAUUUCAUAAAAGCUGCCGCUAAAUCAAGUAUUUUGGGAAGCAGAAAUCACGCAAAAAAACUGAAAUCCUGGAGGGACUGAGUAAGGAUCAGUCCACAUGGGGGUCUUACGGGAAGGAUCAGUCCACAUGGGGGUCUU